GACGAAGGUGGCAAGCGUUACUCGGAAUUACUAGGUGUAAAGCGUGGGCAGGUGGUUUGGUAAGUCUGCUGUGAAAGCUCCCGGCUUAACUGGGAGAGGCCAGUGGAUACUGCCAGGCUUGAAUAUGGGAGAGGUGACUGGAAUUCCUGGUGUAGCGGUGAAAUGCGUAGAGAUCAGGAGGAACAUCGAUGGCGAAAGCAGGUCACUGGACCAUUAUUGACACUCAUCCACGAAAGCUGGGGGAUCAAACAGG
rnacentral:rRNA from 1 species